rnacentral:rRNA from 1 species
UACGGGGGGGGUAAGCGUUGUUCGGAAUUACUGGGCGUAAAGGGCUCGUAGGCGGCCAACUAAGUCAGACGUGAAAUCCCUCAGCUUAACUGGGGAACUGCGUCUGAUACUGGAUGGCUUGGAUCCGGGAGAGGGAUGCGGAAUUCCAGGUGUAGCGGUGAAAUGCGUAGAUAUCUGGAGGAACACCGGUGGCGAAGGCGGCAUCCUGGACCGGUAUUGACGCUGAGGAGCGAAAGCCAGGGGAGCGAACGGG